GACGAACGCUGGCGGCGUGCUUAACACAUGCAAGUCGAGCGGUAAGGCCCCUUCGGGGGUACACGAGCGGCGAACGGGUGAGUAACACGUGGGUGACCUGCCCUCAGCUCUGGGAUAAGCCUGGGAAACUGGGUCUAAUACCGGAUAUGACUCCAUGACGCAUGUCGUGGGGUGGAAAGCCUUGUGCGGCUGAGGAUGGGGCCCGCGGCCUAUUAGCUUGUUGGUGGGGUGAUGGCCUACCAAGGCGACGACGGGUAGCCGGCCUGAGAGGGCGACCGGCCACACUGGGACUGAGACACGGCCCAGACUCCUACGGGAGGCAGCAGUGGGGAAUCUUGCGCAAUGGGCGAAAGCCUGACGCAGCGACGCCGCGUGAGGGAUGAC
rnacentral:rRNA from 1 species